GAUGAAGAACGCAGCGAAAUGCGAUAAGUAAUGUGAAUUGCAGAAUUCAGUGAAUCAUCGAAUCUUUGAACGCACAUUGCGCCCGCCAGUAUUCUGGCGGGCAUGCCUGUUCGAGCGUCAUUUCAACCAUCAAGCCCCCGGCGUGUGUUGGGGACCUGCGGCUGCCGCAGGCCCUGAAAAGCAGUGGCGGGCUCGCUGUCACACCGAGCGUAGUAGCAUACAUCUCGCUCUGGGCGUGCUGCGGGUUCCGGCCGUUAAACCACCUUCAUAACCCAAGGUUGACCUCGGAUCAGGUAGGAAGACCCGCUGAACUUAAGCAUAUCAAUAAGCGGAGA
rnacentral:misc_RNA from 1 species